UAACACAGAGCCCGACACAGGUGUUGAUACCUGAGCCAACAUCAAAAGUUGGAUGUUUAACCGACAGAAGCACCCAGGCACCUCUGAAGACAUUUUGAGCCUGACAUUUAGAUGCGUUUUCGACUGGAUAACUUCAGAACUGAGAAGUUCUGGCUUAUGGAGCACCUGGGUUACUCAGUCAGAAAUGCCUCUUACUGACUACCUGAUUAUUUGAAUCAUAGACCUAACUUUGAGGACAUCCCUGAAAUAACCACCUCCUGAAAUGAAUUUUACUAAACUGACCUAUUGUCAGGACUAAAAGGCUGGUUCAGUGAGAUAAAACCACCUACCAGCUAACUCUGAAUGUGUGCAAUGGUAGGCUGCCCCCAAAUGUGCCACUUUGGCUUACUAUUUUAAAUAAUCACUUAAGAAAACCCAAAGUUACUUAAGAAACAGCCAAUGCCAAACGAAUACUCUGAUUCCCCUAAAAGGGACCAUUGCUAUACCAGGAUGUAAAAAGACAACCUUAUCACCAGAGACAGGGAUUUUAAGGCUGAGAAGGCUGUCUAAACAACCCGUGUUACUUUUUCC